GAGAGUGGAGGUAGGCUCGUGUCCGUUCGUUCGGCAGCGGCACAAAAGGCCGCCUUGCGUGCGCCGGUAUCUUCGACCUUUGACCCCACAGCCCGGCUCCUUAUUUCUUCUCCGGGAGACCGAGAGAAGAGGAGUGGAAGGCUCGAAAAAACACGGCGUUACGGGGCGCGCGUGUUAUCGCGUGCGCGCAGGGGGCAUCGCGGCUAUCCUUCCGUCGGGGUCACCGCGUGGGUCAUCCUCGUGACCCAGCCAGACCCGUGACUAGUGAUGGGAACGAGGCUUGGAUUCGAAGCCAGGCCAGUCUCGUAUAAGGGAUAACUGAAUUUAAAGUAUCUUCUUCCACGCUCAUAGUCAGUUGUUCGAACAAUGAACGAAGAUCAUAUUUACGCAUAACCGGCUUUCGAAGUUUCGAGUUCAACAAUUCCAAGGCUUUUUUCUUAACCCGCGGCGUGUGACUCACGUUUCUGGUGUCAGUCUCGAGCCACAGGACAAGGAAACUCCAUUGGGAAAGAAAGGAAAAAGGGUCGUCGGCUAGACGAUAACCUAGAAGCCUCGCGUCUCUCGCUGAUAAACGCGCCGAUAACAGAAGCGAGUUCUCUCGCGAUAAACCACAGGAGCUGUUUACUCGGCCUAGUGACAGCGACAACGUAGCAACGUAUAAAAGCUGUCCCAGAAAUUGUUCUAUUUUGAAGUAUCGAAGUAUGAAACUUCUAUUCUAUUCUAAUUAAAAAUUAUUAAACAUAAGCAAUAUUUUUAUUUACUUCUUCGUUGCAUAAUAAUUUAAUUCAAUGAGUAGAACUCUGACAUGGUCACAGCAUACUGAAUGCUUAUUAAUAAAAUAAUCCUUGAAACGUAUUAAUCUUUAUUUAUGAAGCCAUUAUCCAACUACAGUCCUAAUUAUCAAAAUUUAUACAGUAAUCCAUAUGAACAAAAAUUUCAUACUUCGAAAGUUUCAGUUAAUACACGAAUACCUGACAAGUCUACGAACUCAGCGUUCUUGAAAACCGAACCUUUGGAGAGAAAAUGUUAGUCUUUUCUUGUGACUUAUUUUUGCAUGUAGAAUCAGUACCCGACUAAAAUGAUUUCUCUGACACCCUGUAUACUACACAUAUGUACAGUUUAUGUAUACGACAAAUCGUUGAUCUUUGCUCUCGCGUUGCCCUGUGUCCCCUACUUCUUGGUCCCGUGAUCAGCUUGCCCGCAGGUAAAUACCGGUUUCACCGUGGUUUUGGUAGCGAGCCAGUCUGAUUAUAGGCUAAUCGAACGCGGCUAAUCGGCUUACGUCAUUGGCUAACCUCUCGAUUCAUCCAUCAUUAGCAGACACGCGAUCUUUAGAUAGUAAGUGAUCGAGAGAUGCGACUGUCCGCGAAGAACGAUGACUGGCUUAUUUAAUCUAAUGCAACCAUCGUUUGAUGCCGAAGUGGAUUUCUUGAUAUUCGGGCGGAGACCCAGGAUGAUUCGGGGACACUAUUGAUCAAUUGUGAUGAAAUGACAAUUAAAUUUAUGUAACUGGAACUGUCAGACUAGUCGUUCCUAUUCAGCUCUUAAUUGGUCUCCUAUCUAGAAAUUUUGCGAAUUACUCGAUGCAAAGUGCGUUACAGCAUAUGCAAACGAUAAUAGCAUUUAUUCACAAAUACACACGUAUUAUAAUACAUUUACAUGCAAAUAAACUCGGACACACUUUCGAAGCUCGAACCGAGGGUCCUUAAAGACGGAAUCAAUUCAGCCGCGGCAGAACUAAUUGAUAAUUAUUGAAGUAAUUGCUCUGACGGGUUUCCAUAUUGAGCGAACAGGGAGACCGGUUGCAUACCUACUAUUAUGUAUAUUCACCUGUGGCACAUGGCGUCGGUAAUCAAAUUAAGUUUUACAGCCCUGGGAUAAAUUUUUUAUUUGCACUCUGAUGUCCAGAACAAUUUAAUAAAUGUUACAUUCCUUCUUGUGUCUAAUAAAUGUUGUUCAAUUACGUAUUUUCUCUAAUGUAAAGAAGUUGGUAAUAUGUACGUCUCUUACAUAUUUUCAUACUUAUAUGUACGGUAUAUACAUAGAUGUGUAAAAGAAAUAUUCUGAA